rnacentral:rRNA from 1 species
CGAACGUUAGCGGCGGGCCUAACACAUGCAAGUCGAACGAGAACGCUCCUUCGGGAGUUAUUAAAGUGGCGCACGGGUGAGGAACGCGUAGGUAAUCUACCCUUUGGCGGGGGACAACAUUCCGAAAGGAAUGCUAAUACCGCGUAAGACCACAUUCACUACGGUGAGAGCGGUUAAAGGUGCCUCAAAGCACCACCAGAGGAUGAGCCUGCGUCCCAUCAGCUUGUUGGUAAGGUAAUGGCUUACCAAGGCGAAGACGGGUAGCUGGUCUGAGAGGAUGAUCAGCCACACUGGCACUGGAACACGGGCCAGACUCCUACGGGAGGCAGCAGUGAGGAAUAUUGGGCAAUGGGCGAAAGCCUGACCCAGCCACGCCGCGUGUGUGAUGAAGGCCUUCGGGUCGUAAAGCACUGUGGGGAGAGACGAAAAAGCGCAUGAGGAAAUGCUUGCGCCUUGACGGUACCUCCUUAGCAAGCACCGGCUAACUCU